rnacentral:rRNA from 1 species
AGAGUUCGAUCAUGGCUCAGGACGAACGCUGGCGGCGUGCCUAAUACAUGCAAGUCGAACGCUUCUUUUUCCACCGGAGCUUGCUCCACCGGAAAAAGAAGAGUGGCGAACGGGUGAGUAACACGUGGGUAACCUACCCUCAAGCGGGGGAUAACAUUUGGAAACAGGUGCUAAUACCGCAUAUUAUUAAUGAACUCAUGUUUAUUAAUUGAAAGGCGCUUUUGCGUCACUUGAGGAUGGACCCGCGGUGCAUUAGCUAGUUGGUGAGGUAACGGCUCACCAAGGCCACGAUGCAUAGCCGACCUGAGAGGGUGAUCGGCCACACUGGGACUGAGACACGGCCCAG